AACACAAGUGUGGCCGAACGGCAAGGCACCGGACUGCAAAUCCGGCUCUCGGUUGUUCAACUCCACCCACGUGUUCCCA
rnacentral:tRNA from 1 species